CCUACGGGUGGCAGCAGUGGGGAAUAUUGCACAAUGGGCGAAAGCCUGAUGCAGCAACGCCGCGUGAGCGAUGAAGGCCUUCGGGUCGUAAAGCUCUGUCCUCAAGGAAGAUAAUGACGGUACUUAAGUAGGCAUCCCCGGCUAACUACGUGCCAGCAGCCGCGGUAAUACGUGGGGGGCUAGGUUGCUCCGGAUUUACUGGGCGUAAAGUGUGCGUAGGUGGUUUCUUAAGUCAGAGGUGAAAGGCGAAGGCUAAACGGUAGUAAGCAUUUGAAACUGGGGAACGUGAGUGCAGGAGAGGAGAGUGGAAUUCCUAGUGUAGCGGUGAAAUGCGUAGAUAUAAGGAGGAACACCAGUUGCGAAGGCGGCUCUCUGGACUGUAACUGACACUGAGGCACGAAAGCGUGGGGAGCAAACAGGAUUAGAUACCCGGGUAGUC
rnacentral:rRNA from 1 species